rnacentral:tRNA from 1 species
GUGCCCAUCCAUAUGUGCCAAUAUUUUCUGCCCUCCGAAGGCAGGGGUCACUGGUUCGAAUCCAGUCGGGCGCG